rnacentral:rRNA from 1 species
CACGUAGGGCGCGAGCGUUGUCCGGAAUUAUUGGGCGUAAAGAGCUCGUAGGCGGCCUGUUGCGUCCGCUGUGAAAGCCCGGGGCUUAACCCCGGGUCGGCAGUGGAUACGGGCAGGCUAGAGGUAGGUAGGGGAGAAUGGAAUUCCCGGUGUAGCGGUGAAAUGCGCAGAUAUCGGGAGGAACACCGGUUGCAAAGGCGGUUCUCUGGGCCUUACCUGACGCUGAGGAGCGAAAGCGUGGGGAGCGAACAGG